UACGUAGGGACCAAGCGUUGUUCGGAUUUACUGGGCGUAAAGGGCGCGUAGGCGGCGUGACAAGUCACUUGUGAAAUCUCCGGGCUUAACUCGGAACGGUCAAGUGAUACUGUCGUGCUAGAGUGCGGAAGGGGCAACUGGAAUUCUUGGUGUAGCGGUGAAAUGCGUAGAUAUCAAGAGGAACACCUGCGGCGAAGGCGGGUUGCUGGGCCGACACUGACGCUGGAGGCGCGAAAAGCUAGGGGAGCGAACGGG
rnacentral:rRNA from 1 species